rnacentral:lncRNA from 1 species
UAUGCCGCUCCCUCUCUCUUGGAUAAUUUUUUUUCUUCUCUCUGUAUCCCUUUUUAUAGCUCUCAUGGCUCCCCCAAGUCCUAAACAUAUUUAGUCUUUUAAGUCUCUCAUGGUUUCCUCUUUUUUGCAUUGGUUACAGUGCCUCUGUCGCAUUGUUUUUGUGUCCACCUCUCUAUUUGCAUCUUAGGCAAGCCCAUCUCACGUAC